GAGUUUGAUCGUGGCUCAGAUUGAACGCUGGCGGCAGGCCUAACACAUGCAAGUCGAGCGGAUGAAGGGAGCUUGCUCCUGGAUUCAGCGGCGGACGGGUGAGUAAUGCCUAGGAAUCUGCCUGGGUAGUGGGGGAUAACGUCCGGAAACGGGCGCUAAUACCGCAUACGUCCUGAGGGGGAAAGUGGGGGAUCUUCGGACCUCACGCUAUCAGAUGAGCCUAGGUCGGAUUAGCUAGUUGGUGGGGUAAAGGCCUACCAAGGCGACGAUCCGUAACUGGUCUGAGAGGAUGAUCAGUCACACUGGAACUGAGACACGGUCCAGACUCCUACGGGAGGCAGCAGUGGGGAAUAUUGGACAAUGGGCGAAAGCCUGAUCCAGCCAUGCCGCGUGUGUGAAGAAGGUCUUCGGAUUGUAAAGCACUUUAAGUUGGGAGGAAGGGCAGUAAGUUAAUACCUUGCUGUUUUGACGUUACCAACAGAAUGAGCACCGGCUAACUUCGUGCCAGCCG
rnacentral:rRNA from 1 species